GACGAACGCUGGCGGCGUGCUUAACACAUGCAAGUCGAACGGAAAGGCCCUGCUUUUGUGGGGCGCUCGAGUGGCGAACGGGUGAGUAACACGUGAGUAACCUGCCCUUGACUUUGGGAUAACUUCAGGAAACUGGGGCUAAUACCGGAUAGGAGCUCCUGCUGCAUGGUGGGGGUUGGAAAGUUUCGGCGGUUGGGGAUGGACUCGCGGCUUAUCAGCUUGUUGGUGGGGUAGUGGCUUACCAAGGCUUUGACGGGUAGCCGGCCUGAGAGGGUGACCGGCCACAUUGGGACUGAGAUACGGCCCAGACUCCUACGGGAGGCAGCAGUGGGGAAUAUUGCACAAUGGGCGGAAGCCUGAUGCAGCAACGCCGCAUGCGGGAUGACGGCCUUCGGGUUGUAAACCGCUUUCGCCUGUGACGAAGCGUGAGUGACGGUAAUGGGUAAAGAAGCACCGGCUAACUACGUG
rnacentral:rRNA from 1 species